rnacentral:lncRNA from 1 species
GAAGAACUCUCAGGAAGUUUGAAAAGAAGCAAGCCGUCCGCAUUCAUUCAAUCUCACCUCCGACCACUCAAACUAACCCUAACCCUGCAUUCCAUUGUUUCCAUCAUGGGAAAUCUAAGUGACGCUCUCAAAUUAACAGGAACAUUGCGCAGAAGAUAUGUCCUGGGCAAUGGACUGAGAAAACGGGCAGAGAUUUGGAGGUAUUUGUGCAUGCUCUAUAUUACAGUUGAAAAGUGUAUAACAGCUUUCCAAUGCUGUUACUUGUGGCGAACACCUUUUUGCUUGAGUUGAUGCGUGCCCGCAGGUGGAAUAAUGUCACAUGUCACACACAUUUUCUGUUGUUUUGAUUUAUUUACUCAUUCAUCAUUUUAUGUGCGCACCUCUCCUAAUCAACCCACCCAUUAAAUAGACAGGCACAAUAGCACCAUCUGCUGGCACAAAAAAUACAUAACAAUAAACUGCAAAACCCCAAUCUGGCUCCUACAAAGUGUAUGUGACAAGAUGAUUAACGUUUGCUUUUGUUAAAUCAGGGCUUCCCCAGCCAGGACUUCGGCUCAGACUGUGGCAUAUUCAUGUUGAUGGUAGGUCAUAACGAGCUGUAAUGCACAAAUAUUGUAUCUAGAAUAACUUUCCAACAUGGACUUUUUUAAAGUUAUCUCACAUGUUGUCUCAUAAUUUUUUUUUUAAGUCUGCCAUGUACAUCGUUAUGGAGUCACAGUUUGACUACUCAGUUGUAAGUACUUUUCAACACGCAGUGUCAUCCUCAAGGUUGUAUUUUGUAUUGUGCACUAAAAUGAAAUACAAACAACAAUUUCAGCAUGACAUGCCUGUUUGGCGGCGAUGGUGGUGCCUGUUGCUCCUGGAGAACAAUUCUUUGAACAGGUAGACAGUUUAAGUAAACUAGAUGUCCUAAUUAACUGGAAGACAAUCAAUAUAUUGUACUCAAAGACAUAUUGUCAUUACAGUUGUGGGAAAAUCUUCGCCCACUGGACCAAAGAAUGUCAAGAGCUCAUUGCUGGAAAGCAUACUCCGGUCUUCAGUCUAAAGAGGAAGGCAGAGCAGCAGGACAUAGAGGUUAGAAAAUUGCCUUGUAAAAACAGUAUUAUCUCAGUGGGAGUCCUUCAAAAUGCACACAGUUGUAUGGAUCAACAUCGUCUCGAUGUAUUUGGUAAUUGAUGUUACUUUUCAAAUUGCCUUGUCAAGGAAACCAUGACGCAGACGGUAUCGGAUGUCCAAAGAAUGUGCAUGGCAGAUUCAAUGCAAUUCUGUGUCUACCAGACAUCGAACAACACAGGAGAGAGGUGUGUUGCAGACUCAAUUUAAUAAAUGCAAUUAUCGGGGCCUAUUCAGUGAUUUUCCAUGAAGUGACCACUUUUACAUAUAGUUUAAAUGCACGAAUCAUGCAGGAAAAUUAUUUAUACAUUCAAAUGUGCUGCAGAGGUAUAAUCAAUUGGACAGCGUGUUUGUUUAAUAUUAUGUUUGUCUCUCAUUUGAUCAGAUUGCUUUACCCUGAGGUAAACGUCAUAAAAUGGGUCCAGUGCAAGACGUGCAGGGGCUGGCUGCAUCAGGAUUGUGCUGGGAUUGAAAUGGAGCCGUUUGACUGCGGGUGCGAGGACUCCAUUGAGCAUCCUCGGUAUAACAUAAUUUAUCAAGGAAACAUAGUAUCAGUCAAAAAUACGAGGCUCAAAGGAUGAAAAAAUGAGGGCUUGCUCUUUUCUUAUUUCUCUGCAGGAUCAAGGAUGCUGUUGACAGUUGAGGAAUUCAUGCUGUCUUUUCUAAGACACAGAUCAAGGUUGCUUUUGAAUGCACUAUCAGUUGUUAAAGCCACCGUUUCUUUUUCAGAUGAUUACAUUUUUGUCUCUUGCUCUUUGGUUUCAGACAUUACACGAUGAUCUACUGUCUGGAAAGAUCCGCUCCAACAGAAUGUUCCUUUGGAGGAAUCCCGCCACCUCACUCCGACUAAAGCAGCAUCUUAAGAUAAGGACACUAAGUUGGAGUGAGCAGCGCGUAAGUAAAAAUGCCAUCCAUCAUGAGUAUUUUUACUCUCAGGGGUGUUACAUUUGAAAGGUGUUUACUUUCUGUGUUUUUCUUCAAUAGAUGUUCGAGCUCCUGCGGUUCAUUGAGGUGGCAACAAACAUUUCUAAAAAAAUAAAGAGAGGCGAGAUUUAUCUGCUUGAUUUCGUUUUUGACGUCAUGCUCCCAGAGGUGAGUAGAUCAAACUAUAUAGCUUGCUUUGAAAAUUGAUGAUAUUGUUAAGAGGUUGUUCUUAUUCAUUUGGAAAGCUCAAGAACAACAAUUAACCCAUACUGCAUAACUUCAAUUGUUCACAUUAUUUGACUGUUUUUCAGCUUUUGAUCAAAGCACUGAAGGAGCAUGGCAUCAACCGGUUCAGAGCAGAGCUGAUGAUGGCCUGUGGCAACAUGUUUUAAGCCCCCCACCACACCGACGGCAGUGCUGAAUUUUGUAUAUAUAUAUAUUUUUUUACUGUUCACAAUUUUGUUUGGAAAAAAUUAAAGAAAUCUUCAAAGCAGUUGUAUGACAAUUUCCCAUUUCUUUACACAGUCUGUAAUGAUAUCGCUAUUCAAUUGUUUUUGCUAUAUGGCUCUUCUGAACCUUAAAGAGAUCAUGUGACUUGUCUCUACAACUAUUGUAUACUUGGAUUUUGCACAGUCAAGCAAUCCUGAAGAGGUUCACCAGGAAGCACACCAUUUCAUAAAUUAUGUCCCUGGUUACACAAUGUUACUAAAGGAUGGGGGGAGUAAAUUUGUGCAGCAACAUAAGCACUCUCAUAAAACAUAAUUAUGAACAACAGAAAAUAUGUGAGGGUCAGGGCAACAUUGUUGACAUUAAACAAGGUCCUAAUAGGAGUGGAGAAACAAGGUCACAGAGAAGUUAAGAAACAUUGAUGUGCUGUGUAAUAAAGCUAUUGGAGAGAAAAGUUAGAAAACACUGUUAUAUGAUGUGUAACGAGAGGUUAAAACAGUCCAUACUUGUAGCAAACUCUUACAAAAGAAUUUGAGUAAGAUGAUAACUUCUACAUACAUUUACCUAUUCUGACAAAUUAUCAGAAUAUGAGGACAUCAGGCUAUAUAUACAUAUUACUGUAAACUUCAGAAUUAAAUCAGAACAAAACAGUAGUCAUAGUUAAUACAUAAACGUUUUAUUUUGAUUUUUAGCUCAAUAAUAAAUUUAAUUCGAUUCUUAUGGAAUGAACGGAGCAAAAAAAAAAGGAUCCGGCGACUAAAUCCGACUACCUGAAGUAUUUCGGCGCCGGAAGUCCGCCAACGAGAAAGCCUUUCCACCGGAAGUAAUUGUUUUGGGUCCGCCAAUCGGAGAAACUUAUUGCGUUUUGUAAAUGUGGUUUUCUAUCUUUGGGUCCGCCAUCUUGCGCUGCAUCUGGUCACCUCUCAAAUAUUUAGGCGAUGGGCAUCAAUUCAUGGAGUCAGUGAAGGUUAGAAGCACACAAAAACAUAUUUCACUCUUAAAAGUGAAUUUAGUCUGUCUUAAGUUUUAUUAGAAUUGUGUUCGGACAAAAAAAAGUUCAUUUUAAAUUUGUUUUUUACAUCAAUUUUGGGAUCUAUGAGCUACAACAUGAGGUCAAAAACCUAACAUAACAGCCCACCAUUUCAGCUAAGAGGACUAAUAAAGUCAUAAUAGUAGUUCUGGGGCAAGUUGAGCCAGUGACUAAACUGAGAAAGUAACUUGGUCAACUUACCCCACACACGGGGUAAGUUGACCAUAAGAAACCACUUUUUUUGGCAUGCUAUAUUACCAAGACAGUUAUGUUUACACUUAUUGUGUUGGUUUGAAGGCAUGCACAACAUCUUGAAAUAUACACUCACCGGCCACUUUAUUAGGUACACCAUGCUAGUAACGGGUUGGACCCCCUUUUGCCUUCAGAACUGCCUCAAUUCUUCGUGGCAUAGAUUCAACAAGGUGCUGGAAGCAUUCCUCAGAGAGCUUGGUCCAUAUUGACAUGAUGGCAUCACACAG